CAUCACACCCGAGUCAAGAAAGUGCCA
rnacentral:piRNA from 1 species